rnacentral:rRNA from 2 species
GCUUGCUGGGUGGAUUAGUGGCGAACGGGUGAGUAACACGUGAGUAACCUGCCCUUGACUCUGGGAUAAGCCUGGGAAACUGGGUCUAAUACUGGAUAUGACUGCUCCGCGCAUGCGGUGGUGGUGGAAAGCUUUUGCGGUUUUGGAUGGACUCGCGGCCUAUCAGCUUGUUGGUGGGGUAAUGGCCUACCAAGGCGACGACGGGUAGCCGGCCUGAGAGGGUGACCGGCCACACUGGGACUGAGACACGGCCCAGACUCCUACGGGAGGCAGCAGUGGGGAAUAUUGCACAAUGGGCGCAAGCCUGAUGCAGCGACGCCGCGUGAGGGAUGACGGCCUUCGGGUUGUAAACCUCUUUCAGUAGGGAAGAAGCUUUCGGGUGACGGUACCUGCAGAAGAAGCGCCGGCUAACUACGUGCCAGCAGCCGCGGUAAUACGUAGGGCGCAAGCGUUAUCCGGAAUUAUUGGGCGUAAAGAGCUCGUAGGCGGUUUGUCGCGUCUGCUGUGAAAGACCGGGGCUCAACUCCGGUUCUGCAGUGGGUACGGGCAGACUAGAGUGAUGUAGGGGAGACUGGAAUUCCUGGUGUAGCGGUGAAAUGCGCAGAUAU